ACGAACGCUGGCGGCGUGCCUAACACAUGCAAGUCGAGCGAAUGAAGUUCCUUCGGGAAUGGAUUUAGCGGCGGACGGGUGAGUAACACGUGGGCAACCUGCCUCAUAGAGGGGAAUAGCCUCCCGAAAGGGAGAUUAAUACCGCAUAAGAUUGUAGUACCGCAUGAUACAGCAAUUAAAGGAGCAAUCCGCUAUGAGAUGGGCCCGCGGCGCAUUAGCUAGUUGGUGAGGUAAUGGCUCACCAAGGCGACGAUGCGUAGCCGACCUGAGAGGGUGAUCGGCCACAUUGGGACUGAGACACGGCCCAGACUCCUACGGGAGGCAGCAGUGGGGAAUAUUGCACAAUGGGGGAAACCCUGAUGCAGCAACGCCGCGUGAGUGAUGACGGCCUUCGGGUUGUAAAGCUCUGUCUUCAGGGACGAUAAUGACGGUACCUGAGGAGGAAGCCACGGCUAACUACGU
rnacentral:rRNA from 1 species